rnacentral:rRNA from 1 species
UGCCAUCAUUUAGCUGGGCACUCUAAAGGGACUGCCGGUGUUAAACCGGAGGAAGGUGGGGACGACGUCAAGUCCUCAUGGCCUUUAUGUCCAGGGCUACACACGUGCUACAAUGGGCGGCACAAAGGGCAGCGACACCGCGAGGUGAAGCAAAUCCCAAAAAACCGCUCUCAGCUCGGAUCGGAGUCUGCAACUCGACUUCGUGAAGGUGGAAUCGCUAGUAACCGUGGAUCAGCAUGCCACGGUGAAUACGUUCCCGGGCCUUGUACACACCGCCCGUCACACCACGAAAGUCUGCUGUACCAGAAGUCGUUGGGCUAACCCGCCUUGGCGGGAGGCAGGCGCCUAAGGUACGGCCGGUAAUUGGGGUG